UGUGAGAAGGGAGUUUUAUGUGAGAAGUGAGAAGAAAAUCUAACCCUUAGAUCAUGUCUCAUUUAAGGGCCAAGAUUAAAAACUUAAAAAAAAUUAAAACCCCAAAACCUGCCGCCUCGCUCCUCUCUCCUCCCUCUCUCUCCUCUCUCUUUCAGCGGUUUUAGUUCUUUUCAUAGAUAAAUGUUUUUGUUUGCAAUACUACAUCAGUGAAUUUCGUCUGCAAUUCGACACUCAAAAUCAAAAUUUUAAUUAAAUAGUUGCAGACAAUAUGGGACAGGAAGGUAUUUGAUUUACAUUGAGAUUUAGGGACAACAGAGCUCUUGUUGAUGGGUUGUAGCGAUAACUUUGACAUAGUGGUUGAAUUUGUGUUUUAAGCUAUCUACCUAACCGUUCUCCAUGUAACACAGUGUUAUAUUCAAUGUUGAUAUUCUUACCAUUAAUUACUUUACCAUUGUUUGUAUAAUUUUUUACCAAAUUAGGGUUUGAGAUUUUUUGUACCUCAUGUAUAUACUCUUUGGAGCUUGUAAUUAUUAAUCAUCUUAAUGACCCACAUUUUCCUAACCACAAAAUACAACUAUUAUUGCUAUUUUUCA